AGAAAAGGCGAUUAUUACACUGUCGUCAAAUGAAUGGGUUGGAGCUGAUUAAUAUACUCUGCAUGAGAAUACAGAGCUUCCCUUCAGCUAAUUGCCAAGUUCUUGAAGAUAUUGAUGCAUUGAUAGAUAAAGAUUUGCAUAAAAGAGAUCUCGGAAUUAGAGGUGUGUUUGAAGAAGAAGAAGAAGAAGGGGAAAGCAUAGUAUUAGAGAUUGAACGUCUCAUAUUUGAAUCACUUGUGCAUGAAUCUGUGGCGCUGUUUGGAAUGGCACGUUCGUAUAGAAUAACAAGGUAGCAGUUAAGUAAUUGAAGUAUACGAGUAGAAAUAAUAGUAAUUUUAGUAGUAUAUGUUUCUCAAUUUAAUUUUUAGUGCAAGUCUUUUUUCCCCUAAAGUGCAGAAAGUCCAUUUGCUUCACUUAUGAUGCAUUUGUAUCGUAGCAUCUUUCUCUGCAUCGCAUUUACCAGAGCUAAAUAUUUUUAUUUUUCUUCGACAAAAUACCUUGUAGUUGUAGACUGUAGCAUGCUACUUAACAAAUUGGUAUGACUGCAUCUUACACAUAAGACCAACUAAUGCAUGUUGGUAACUAAGAAGGUUUAAAUUAUCAAGUCACUUUUAAAGCUAAUUAUAAGUAAUUUAAUUAAUAGUAAUAAAUGCUCCGCUAUAUAGUGGAAAGUUUAUAGUUUUAUACUCUAAUUUAAUCCUAAUUAAAAAAAAAAAAGGAGGAAGAGAACGGGCACUAAUGAGCAGAAACAGGGUCUGACCGUGUUCAGGUGGGUCAAUCACGUGAUUAGAUGCCAUUCGUUUGGAUAUGGAGCCCACUUUUGUCAAAUUUUAGACGAAAUUGGGGUUACAGGGAUACACGUGGGGCGUAAAGCGACACUAGAUGUUGGCCAACACUCCCUCGCUUUCGUAUAGGCUCCUCACUUGGAUUUAGGUGUGUUCAUUGUUCAAAACUGUAUUUGAAUUUUUUGAUUAGUUAUUUUUAAUAUUUGACUUUUAAAAUUAAUAUAUUAAUAUCGUAUCAAAUUAAAUUUAUUAUAGUUUAAAUUUUUUCUUUUUAUUUCGGUUAAUUCGAUUUAGUAACUUUAAUUUAGUCUGUUUGAAUAUUAAUUAAUGUAUAGAGUCAUAGUCUGUAAUAUAUUUAAUUAAAUGUUAAAAAACUGCAAAACUUACAACAUUUUGAAAAAAAAAUGUCAAAAUUCAGCAAGUAUCAAUCCUAAGAGAGAAAACUGUACAUAAUGGAAUAAAUUUGAUUAUUAGAAAUGUCUUGUUACUUUCUUAGAGUUAAUUAAAAAACUAAAAAAAUAAAAAAAAUGAAAUUUCAGAUUUUAUUUAUCUAUGUUAAAAUUAGUAAUAUGUAUAUUGUGUAAUAUAAUAUAUAUUCGGUACGAUAUUAGUAUUUCAGUAUUUUAUUUUAAAAUAUCAAAUACCAUAUAUAAUACCAAUUUGUUUUAAAAUUUGAGCCAAAUACCAUACCUGUCACGAUCCUAGUUCGCCAUCCGUGAACUGUCGUGACGAUACUUAAUCUCUAUGACUAGGUAAGCCUAACAAUGUGGAAGAUAAACAAAGCUUACAGAAGAAAUAAUCAAAAACCAAAACUAACAGAAUGAAACAGUAUUUAAAAUGCCGUUCGGUAUAUAUAAUACAACUUCUCGAAACUAAGAACACUUUUCAAAAUCCAGAAUCUCAAGAAACCUAAGUCUUUGGAUAUAUAUAAGUAUCUAACUCUAGAAUGUCUAAUAAAAGAAAAUACAGAAUGGCAAUUGUUUAAAGAGAAAAUAGAGAGGGACUCCUCAGUGUGAAGACGUGGCAAAUAUACCUCGAAAUAUCUGGAACAGUCUGUCACACCUCCCUUUUCCUACACCCGAAAGGUAUAAGAGAGUUUUUCAAAAUUAAAGUGACAAUCGAAACAAGAUUAUUUCAUUUAAAAAUUCAGAGUUGCCACUUGGGCUAAUUUAUGGUGUCCCAAGUCACCGGUUCAAAUCCAGAAUCGAGAAAAGAUUGACUCUGUUUCAAAGUACGCAAACAUAAAAAUUCAGAUAAGGAAUUCUAUCAACCCGGGAGAAGGUGUUAGGCAUUCCCGGAUUUCGUGGUUCUAGCACAGUCACUCAACUGUUAUUAUUGGCCUAAUUAUCUGAUUUUAUAACACUUUUAAACCUAUGUACAUUUUAACUUUAAAACCGCUUUUAAUUAUUUUAAUGAAGAUUUCAACAUCAUCUAAAAUAUGUAUUUAGACCACGCCACAUGAAAUACACCCGUGCUCUGAGACACAUUUUAUUUAAUGUUUUUAAGAUUUGGAUUUGGGUCACAUGAAAUGCAAACCCGAGUUUAGAAAGGUAAUUUUAAAUUACGCGCCUAAAGCAACUACGCAUUUUUAACUUUGCGAGGGUCAUGAAAAGUUAACCAAAUGGUACGCCUCGAUUUCAAAAGAUAAAAGUAUUAAUUAAAUGAGAGCCAUGCACUUUUAGAUUUUAUUUGACACCGCACACCUCAAUUCCAAUUUUUAAAGAACAUUCAAACUAUACUUUGGAGGGCCAUAAGCUAUUUGUGUUAUAUAAUAUAGCUCACCUCCACUAAUUAAAGGGCCUAAUUAAUUAAAAGACUAAAGAAAAUUUCGAAUUUCUCUAAAAGAAAAUGCCAGUUCUAUUGAUGAUCAAAGGAUUUGCACUUAGAGAUGGAUCCAAUUCCUCUAAGGGCAAUUUGGGCCAGCGACAUUCCCCAAUUGAAAUAACUGAUUCGAGAAGGAGAACAUGGACAUGCAUGAAAAACACACAUAAAGUCCUAUUUGCAAUUGCCCUCUGACUUAGGCCUAAAACAAGCCUGAAUUUUGGGCAAGAACGGACUCAAGUUCUAGUCUGGAUGAAGCCAACUCAGUUUGGGCCUCAAGAGGCCAUGGGCUUCAAAUGACCAUUCUAAUGGAGAAAUUUCCAGCGCCUUACUUCAUUUUGAGUAGUGAACAAGCAAGUCAUUACUAAAUUAGAAUAUCCAAGUACAUGAAAUUUAAAUACCAUUCAACUGAAUAUUUUCAGAGCUACUAUUAUAAUUCUAUACACAAUUAAAUUAUUUAAUAACAUACAUAUUAGCAUAAUUUCAAAAUUCAGUAUACAUGUAUUAGCAUAUGCUCCUCUCUAUUCCAUUUUCCUACCUUAAAUCCUCAUUCCGAAACGACUUCAAACCAGUAGUUAACUUUCAAAAUAGAACAUUUAGCUAUUUCUCAUAACAUCUUGCCUCUAUUGUAGCUUAAUCUAUCAAACAGUAACAUAAAAUCAUGGACUCAGUAUUAUGCUAUAAUAUUUAAGUGAUCUACAAAGAAACAAGAGAUCUAACACCACUUACUUUAGCUGACAUGCUUGAUUACAAAAUCGAGCUAAUGAUCAAAUUUCCAUCAAAUUCCUUCUCUUAACAGUUCAAAACUAAAUACAAUAAUAUGAACUCAAAAGAAAACAAAAUUUAGCUACGAGUGCUUUGCUAGAAUCUAACUUCAUAACAAAUGCAAAUUAACUAAAACUCUUAUAUUGAACAUACAAUGCAUCAAUUAAUUUCAAUAUCAUAAAAGACUAAAACUAAAAUAGUGAAUCUGAGCAUGUAAAAGCCAUAUUUAAAAACUCCAGAUUCAUUUCAUGCUUCAAUGUCAAGCCUCAUAAGGGGUGAGUUUAGAAACAUGUACCUGAGGAUAAGGAAAAACAAAGAAGAAUUGAGGAAGCAGUAAUUAACAGCAGCAAAACCAAUUUUGAUCCUUAGCAAUGUAACAAUAACCCCAGAAACUAAACAGCUUCGAACCAAAGCUUUCCAAACCCAACACAGAUGUAAAACCUCAUCAUUUUAGCAGUUUUAAACAAGUAAUCAAGAUCAGAAAACCAAAUACUAGGAAGAUUUUUAGAGGUUUUCCACAAGGAACUACAGGGAAUCCAGGGAUACUUUCAGAUGCUCAGCCGUUUUAAUUUUUCUGAAUUUUUAC
rnacentral:lncRNA from 1 species